GACGAACGCUGGCGGCGUGCUUAACACAUGCAAGUCGAACGGAAAGGCCCUGCUUGCAGGGUGCUCGAGUGGCGAACGGGUGAGUAACACGUGGGUGAUCUGCCCCUUACUUUGGGAUAAGCCUGGGAAACUGGGUCUAAUACUGGAUAGGACCAUGCUGUAGGUGGUGUGGUGGAAAGAUUAGUUUCGGUAAGGGAUGAGCUCGCGGCCUAUCAGCUUGUUGGUGGGGUAAUGGCCUACCAAGGCGUCGACGGGUAGCCGGCCUGAGAGGGUGGACGGCCACGUUGGGACUGAGAUGCGGCCCAGACUCCUACGGGAGGCAGCAGUGGGGAAUAUUGCACAAUGGGCGCAAGCCUGAUGCAGCGACGCCGCGUGGGGGAUGACGGCCUUCGGGUUGUAAACUCCUUUCAGCCAUGACGAAGCCCUUGUGGUGACGGUAGUGGUAGAAGAAGCACCGGCUAACUACGUG
rnacentral:rRNA from 1 species